rnacentral:lncRNA from 1 species
CUGUGAUGCAGCGAUUAAUAAGAGCAAAGGAUGUGGGAUUGAAGUGGUGUUGGGGGCUGAAGAUGGUGCUCUUCUGGGAUGCAAGUUUGGCGCCUAACCAUGGGCUUUCUCGGCCAUUGAAGGGGAAACACUUGCACUCGUGGAAGCUGUGAGGUGGUGCUGUAACUGGAAGAUUGACGACAUAAUUCUUGAAAUGGAUUGCCAAGCUCUCUAGUGGUUGUUGGUGAAGCGCGAGAACGACCGAUCAUACCUAGGGGAUACUCUGAACCAAAUCUUUGAGUUGAGCUCUACCAUUCCUCGUUGUGCUUUUAGCUGGACCCCUAGAGAGGGGAACACAACGGCCGAUCAUUUAGCUAGUUUUGCUUUACGUACUUUUUCGCCUAUUUCCUUUUCUCGGGCUAUUCCUGAUGAUGUAAACUCUAGAUUUUAUGUUUAAUUCCAAUUAUCGUCUUUCCCUCAAAAAAAAAAAAAACGAAGUCUAAAACACCAAUACAACUAAAAUAUCUGAAUACAAAUAAAUAAAAUGUAUAUUUCACAAAUAUAAAAUACAUAUUAUUAUUAAACUAUAAAAAAAACAUUUUCAAUUGUAAUUAAUUCGAAACAUUUAAUCAUAUACAAUCAAUACAAAAUGAUCUCAUAAAAUACUUGAUAAAUUGAACUUAAACAGUACUUGGUUCAAAAUAUUUACCUACUCAAUCAAUAAACAAUGAUCACAUAAAAUACUUGAAAAAAAAACUAAAAAAUGUUUCACAUAAAAAUAUGGAGUUAAAAAUCAGAAACACUUGUUCAAAAUAUAAAAAUUGAAAAAAAUCAAUAAAAAACAGCGUUUUUCCCCGGAUAAUUCUUUGAAUCGUGAUGAGUCAUAGUGUUGCAUUUCCUGUAUCUACGCAAAGGUCUUUGGGCAAGAAUCUGAGCCUUCUCAAAAUUUGAUUUUCUCGUACCACCAGCACCACUCC